CGGCAACUGUGCGGAGUUGAAGUGAACGUGAGCGUCGAUACCACCCGCGGUCGCGAUCAGUCCCUCCGCGGAGAUAACCUCGGUGUUCGCGCUGACGAUCAACUCGUCGUCGACAUCGUUCAUCGUCUCUGGAUUGCCGGCGUUACCAACGCCCGCGAUGUAGCCGUCUUUGAUGCCGAUGUCGGCUUUCUGAAUUCCGAGGACUGGAUCGAGAAUGGUCAGGUUCGUCAGCACCCAGUCAAGCGCACCCUCCUCGGCCGUAAAUCCCGGCUUGAGUCCG
rnacentral:sRNA from 1 species